UACGUAGGGUGCAAGCGUUGUCCGGAAUUACUGGGCGUAAAGAGCUCGUAGGUGGUUUGUCGCGUUGUUCGUGAAAACUCACAGCUCAACUGUGGGCGUGCGGGCGAUACGGGCAGACUUGAGUACUGCAGGGGAGACUGGAAUUCCUGGUGUAGCGGUGGAAUGCGCAGAUAUCAGGAGGAACACCGGUGGCGAAGGCGGCGAUCUGGACGAUGACUGACGCUGAGACGCGAAAGCGUGGGGAGCAAACAGG
rnacentral:rRNA from 1 species